UCAUUUAAUUAGCACUGGUUCAAACCGGUGCCAACCUAAAAAAAAAAACAAAAUAAAGAAAGCAAUAGAGUUGGCACCAUUUCGCCUUAAACCGGUGCCAACUAUAGUAAAUAGCACCGGUUUGAACCGGUGCCAUUUAAAAAAAAACCCGGUUUAAGGCGCGUCUUCUUCUUCAUUUCCUUGCUCUUUCCUCUUUAAUUCGUUCUCAUCUGAUCUGCCUCUCUCUCUCCUCCUUUCUCCAUUGAAGGGGCUUCUGAGCUUUCCUAACACUCCGUCUCUCUCCUUCGAUCUCCUUCUCCAUUAAAGGCCUCCAUUCCUAUUUCCUAAGUCUCUUGAGUUAUUUCAUUGAAGCGCACUCAAUGUUCUCCAUUGAAGUGUUCUCCGUUGAAUCUAAUUCUUGUAUCCCCCAUUGAAGCAGCUUCUAAGGGCGGCCGCCCCUACUGCAUGCCCUGCCUCAAGGACGGGCCUGGUCGAGGAAGGCUGGCUGAUGUUGAGGUUUUUGAGUAGAGAAAGCAGUGCUGUUAGACGGAGUUUGAGUACAUGUGUUAAUCCUCCAUUGCCAUGGCUUUUUGUGGGAUUAAGCAAUCCUGGUGAUAAAUUCUAAGGCACUCGUCAUAAUGUUGGCUUCGAAAUGAUUGAUGCACUUGCUGAUUCUCUUGGCAUUUCACUCAAUAAUGUUCAUUGUAAAACUUUAUUUGCCCAAGGUUUUUCUUCUCUUUCUCCUUUAGUUAACUGCUACCAGCUAAGGAACUAUUUCUGAUUAAUUUGACCUCCUCAAAAAUUUAUUUGAAAUUUGUAAUUCUGUUCCCAGAGUUCAUUGGCAAUGUCCCAAUUUUCCUAGCAAAACCUUAGACUUACAUGAACUUAUGUGGCGAAUCUACAGGUCCUCUAGCAGCAUAUUACAAGCUACCUCUAAAUCGAGUGAUGGUGAUGGCAUUUAGAGGUAGAGGACGUGGGAGAGGAUUUGGUGGAAGUGACUUCAAGUUUGUGAAGCCGGAAUCUUUUGUACUUUUUCCGUGUCUCUUGGGUAUUUUGACGACAUAUACAUUCCUGCCUUUGCUCUGCCAGACCCGUCACGUAUCGAGCCCCAUGAUGAUGAUCCCAAGCAAGUGAAAUGGGUGUGGACUUACAAUGAUCUUGAAUUAUCCUAUGAUGACGAAAAUGUGAUACGGUUUCAAGUUACUAGUGUUGACUACCCUCCAAUCCCUUUAGAACAAGAAGAAGGUUCAAAGCCUUUUGCUCCAAUGGUUGUCACUGGAUUACUUAACUCUAAUGGUUUAGGCCCUUUUUCAUGGUGGGUAUAAUUCCCGAUUACUGAAACUGAUCAUCACAGCAAGAACCAAGCUUAAAAGUUGACAUAAUAACCAGGCCUGAUCAUCGAAGUCAUUCUAACAAUCAAGUCGCAACAAAGCUGCUGAACUUGGUUCCCUGGUGCAAUGUCCAGCUUGGUUACUCACUACUGCCACUAGCCUUCUUUGACACAUGAUGAAUAUACUCCUUGUAACUUCUGCAAGUGAGAAAGAGUUUCAGAGUAUUGUUGAGAGAAACCGUAAGGAGGCAAAAGCAAGCUCAGCUCAUUGAACGUUUGCUAGCUCAUUGACAGAUGGCUGUGAAUUGGAGUAUUUCUUAAUUCAAGCUGCUGUUUUCCUAUUUUGUUUUGAAAGUUAAAAGAAAAAAUGUAACUGUAUAUAUAUGUUAAUGUUUAUAUAUCAAUUUAAG